UUGUGGAGGAGGACGCCGAAGGUGGGGCUAAUGACUGGGGUGAAGUCGUAACAAGGUAGCCGUACCGGAAGGUGCGGCUGGAUCACCUCCUAACAGGGAGACAACAAAAUGUUAAAUAUUAAUUUUGUCACCUUAGGUCGAUCGGUAUCUCACAUUCUUAAUUGAUUUAAGAAUUUUAUUUCCUAAGUUUUUCUAGGUCACACCCAUCAUUUUUCCUGGGCCAUUAGCUCAGGUGGUUAGAGCGCACCCCUGAUAAGGGUGAGGUCCCUGGUUCAAGUCCAGGAUGGCCCAUAUCUCUAUGUUGGGGGUAUAGCUCAGUUGGUAGAGCGCCUGCUUUGCAAGCAGGAUGUCAGCGGUUCGAGUCCGCUUACCUCCACUGAUUACCACCUCUUCCAUGGUUUAUAGAAGGGAAAUUUUGAGUUGUGAUCAAAUUCUGAACGAAUCUAGCUUCCUAAUUAAACUUAUUAAGAUGCUGGACUCAUUGAAUUAUUUUCAUUGUUUUCAGAGAACCUUGACAACUGCAUAGAUUAUUUUAAAGACAAUAAGCAUUUUUAAUGAUGCAGAUUUAUUAUUAGUGCGAAUGCAUUAAAUAACAAUUCUAUUAAGCUGAUGCUUCAAUUUUUGAAGUUAUUGGUCAAGCUACAA
rnacentral:misc_RNA from 1 species